AACGCAUCUUGCGCCUAAUGGUAUUCCGUUAGGCAUGCCUGUUUGAGUGUCGCUUUAUCUCAAUAACAUAAUAUUAUGUUUAUAAUAUUUAUGGUUUAUUGGAUUGUGGAUGUUAUUGAGUAGAUCUUGUUAUCUGUUCAACAUCUUAAAUAUAGUUUGGUUUGAACUUGAUGUUUACGGUUUGACCGAAUGUUGUAGAGUACAACUUCAUUUGGGACGUUAACAUAAGAUGAAACCCAUAGUAAUUUUAAUGUGUGAAAUAUAUUCUGUUUCCUAUCAUUAAAAUGACUCUAUAUUAUUUGACCUCAAAUCAGGUAGGAUUACCCGCUGAACUUAA
rnacentral:misc_RNA from 1 species